AAGUCGUAACAAGGUCUCCGUAGGUGAACCUGCGGAGGGAUCAUUAACAAAAAUCAAAAAAAAAACACAAAUGAAUCCCAAGAACGGAACGAGCCCCAAAAGCUUUUUCUCUUUUUUCGAUUCUUUUUUGCUUUUUUUUUAAUUCAAAAAACACUUUGCGAACCAUGUGACUGACCAAGUUGUUUUUCCGACGCUCUCACGAGUCGAACGAAAUCUCUUGGCUUUUUUUUCACUAACAACCAAUUUCACCAAUUUUUUCUAUGAUUUUCUCAUUGCUCGUCUGAGCAGUGAAAGAAGCACAGGAAAAGCCAAUUGAAUAUCAAAAACUGAAAAGUUGAAAAUUUAAUUUCUAAUUUUUUCUUUUUCACAAAAUAAAAAAACAAAAUUAAAGCACAACUCUUAGCAACGGAUAUCUUGGUUCUC
rnacentral:misc_RNA from 1 species